rnacentral:rRNA from 1 species
UACGGGGGGGGCAAGCGUUGUUCGGAAUUACUGGGCGUAAAGGGCUCGUAGGCGGCCAACUAAGUCAGACGUGAAAUCCCUCGGCUUAACCGGGGAACUGCGUCUGAUACUGGAUGGCUCGAGUUUGGGAGAGGGAUGCGGAAUUCCUGGUGUAGCGGUGGAAUGCGCAGAUAUCAGGAAGAACACCCGUGGCGAAGGCGGCUCUCUGGAACGCAACUGACGCUGAGACGCGAAAGCGUGGGGAGCAAACAGG